rnacentral:rRNA from 1 species
GGUCGGCAACGACCACCAGGGCCGGAAAGUUGGUCAAACCCGGUCAUUUAGA